CAAUUUGGAAAAGAAAAGAAAAGAAAAGAAAAGAAAGAGAAAGAAAAUAGCGAGAGGUUUCCAAGAUCCGGGGCAUUUGCUGGUGUAGAUGGAAGCUAAAUCUCAGGAGAAGACGUCGACAACUGUUUGGUAAUCUUCAUUUUACAUCAAGCGUUUUCAGCUGCCAAUCUGAAUUUCAAAGAUACAAAUCUGAAGAUUGAAUUCCAGAACCUCCAAUGGAAUCACCCACUGGAAUGAAUUUGACUAAUGGCAAGAUUCAUUCAUUCAAUGAUAAAACUUCCAAGCCCUUUAAGAUCUUUGUGGGUUACGAUCCUCGGGAAGAUAUUGCUUAUGAGGUUUGUCGCUAUUCAAUUCUAAAACGAGCUUCAAUUCCUGUUGAGGUCAUACCGAUAAAACAGUCCGAGUUGAGAAAAAAGGGAUUGUAUUGGCGUGAAAGAGGGAAGCUGGAGAGCACCGAGUUUUCAUUUUCUCGGUUCUUGACUCCAUACUUGGCUAAUUAUGAUGGUUGGGCAAUGUUUGUGGAUUGUGAUUUUCUUUAUUUGGCAGACAUUAAGGAAUUGAGAGAUUUGGUUGAUGAUAAUUACGCAAUAAUGUGUGUGCAACAUGAUUAUGCGCCCAAGGAGACUACAAAAAUGGAUGGGGCAGUGCAAACGGUGUAUCCGAGGAAGAAUUGGUCUUCAAUGGUUUUGUAUAAUUGUGGGCAUCCCAAGAACAGGGUGUUGACGCCUGACGUGGUGAAUUCUCAAACAGGUGCUUAUCUUCAUAGAUUUAUGUGGUUAGAUGAUCAUGAGAUUGGGUCAGUUCCAUUUGUUUGGAAUUUUCUUGUGGGUCAUAACAAGGUUAUUGAGGAUGAUCCAAGUACGCUCCCCAAGGCCAUACACUAUACUCUAGGAGGACCAUGGUUCGAGAGUUGGAAAAACUGUGAGUUUGCAGACUUGUGGGUGAAUGAAAUGGAAGAAUGUCAGAAGGAAAUGAAGACCAAAACAGAAUAGGUGGCAUCAAUCAACAGCACAAUUUCUGCUGCUGUAAUUAGUCAUGAUUGGAAUUAUGGUUAUUAAUGUUAAAUUGUUAGCAGUCAAGGUCUUCGUGGGAGUCAAUGCACCCUUACACACCAUGAGUUGUGUGAUCCUGAUUAGUAAGGGAUGAGCCAACUGAUGAGGAGUAAGUGGGGCAUUCUUGGGUAAGAGAGCUAGCUGAGGAGCUCAACUCUUAGGGAGGAUAUUAGGAUGGAUUUUCCUUGCUUGACUAGUAUUUUAUUAAAUACCUUGUGGAUUUUGGGAAUAGUAUUGAUCAUUUAUUUGUAGGUCUACUACUGUUCUUGAUGUCAAAUUCAUUAAGGCAACAGAUUGCUUUGAUUUAUGAUUCAAAGAAAAAAGAUGAUGAUGACUGGACAGUUGUUUUUUUGUACUGAGCUAGGGUUGGUAUGGAACACGUGAGUCAGACCAUCGGUACUUCUGAAUCUCAAAGUUGUGCAUUUAAGAGUGUAGUAUGUUAUUGACUGGAAAGGCAUGUAAGGUUUACACCAAGGCAAUUCACUAGAAAAACUACCUGAGGCAGUCUUGCUUCAUCA